CCUUAGCCGUAAGAGUGGAGAACACGCAAACAGAUAGUUGCUAAAGCCUGAAAACAUGAAAGAAUAGCUAUUGCGAGUACAGCGAAUAGUAACAGCCUGGCCUGAAAACACGCACGAUGUUGUAACUGCAACCGACGCCCAAGCUACAGGAUAUUAUUCGCCGGCGCGAGGUACGGCGAAAGGUAGGAUGCCACCGGACGAUCAAGGUCGCAGUGGCGGUGUAGAAACUGCGUGACAGCAACUCCGCAAGCCAGUAUGUAGGACAAGAGACUCGGGAUGGAAUAUGAAGACCGAUGCACAGCCCCAAGACAACUGAUGAGCUCGCCUGGCUGCGAACACAAGUGGGGACCACACUUGGUGUGGCAGUACCAAUCUGACACCUUCAAGGCCUCUAGCUGCUGUAUAAGCGAAUGAAGCUGCAUUAGCUUCACUAAGUUUAUACUAAGAUGCCAGAUGCUCGCGUGCUUAUGAUGUCACGAAAACGAGCACAC